GGGCACAUGGUGUAGUUGGUUAUCACAUCCGCUUAGCAUUGAAUAUUCCUUCGAGGGCUGCGGGGGGUGCUGGGUUCAAUUCCCAGUGUGUCCA